CAUUAUUGAUGUUAAUCUGGCAGAAGAACUACGAAAAUUAAAAACAACUACGAAUUUUUCAGGAAAAAUAUACAAUUCCGUUAUAACUUCAAACUAAUCUCGAACUCCCAUACAUUUUAUGGUUUUAAAAUAUUUGCGUAUUUAUCCAGAACAAAAUUGAUAUAUAUGUGGAGCGGACCUGGUGUGAACACUUGACUAUCACGCCGAGGACCUGGGAUCGAAUCCCAUUCCCGAAAAUCUCACAAAUGUUAGUUCUUCCAUCGGAAGGGAAGUAAAGUGUGGGUCCCGAGAUGAACUAGCCUAGGGCUAAAAAUCUCGUUAAUACAGAUAAAAAAAAAUGAUAUAAAUCUGGCCAAAGAACUAUAAAAAAUUCAGAAAACUACGAUUUAAUUUAAAAAAAUAUACAAUUUUGUUAUAACUUUAAACUCAUCUCAAAUUCCCAUACAUCUUAUUAUUUUAAAAUUUUUGCGUAUUUAUCCAGAACAAGUUUGCAGAACAUUAUAGAUGUAAAUCUGGCAAAAGAACUACAAAAAAUCAGAAAACUACGAAUUUUUCAGGAAAAAUAUACAAUUUCGUUAAAACUUCAAACUAAUCUCGAACUCCCAUACAUUUUAUGAUAUUAAAAUAUUUGUGUAUUUAUCCAGAACAAGUUUGCAUUGUUGAUGGUUUUCUCUUCAAAGAACUAUAAAAAAUCAGAAAACUACGAUUUUUUCAGAAAAAAUAUACAAUUUCGUUAUAAAUUCAGAAAACUACGAUUUUUAUUAGCAGAAAUAUACAUUUUUGAUAUAAGCUCAAAUUGAUUUCAAUUUCUCAUAUUUCUCAUCAGACAGAUCGUUUAUUGCUUGUCAGGAGGCGAAAAAACAUAAAAAAAAACAAUAAAAAAUACAUAACGUAUCAGAACAUUUGGUCUGUAAGCAUUGUUUCUACAGUUCAUAAAUUUCAAAGGAUUGAUCAAUUUAUUCAAAAUGUAUCAACGUAGCAUAUACAAUCGAAUAUUUGUAUCGUUUUAUAUUAUAAAUGACCGUUUCUCCUAAAUAAAGGAUUGAUGGCCCCUUUUUUCAGGCUAUCUAUAUAGCAAUAUCACGCUGCCCAUAAUACCAAAAAUUACAUAGAACCAUCGUAAAACGCAUAUAUUUAUUGAAAUCAUGUCUAAUAUAGUAUACUACAGUAUUGGUACAAAGUAGUUUUCUAAAUAACCCUGGAAUUUGAAGUGCAGUUUUGUUAUAGAUAAAAAUGUCCAAAGUAGCCCCCAUCCGAGAUGUGUCCGAUUGGUGUAUGAAGAACUUUUUUGUUAAUUGAUGGAUUUAGUUCAAAUUUAGCAUACAUCCAACAAUACUUACGAUUAUUAUUUGUAAAAAUUGUGGAAAUCGAUUCACUACUCUGGGAGUUAUAAUGUCUCGAAGUUGAAAAAAAAAACACGAAAAAGUGUAAGAAGUGUAAGAAGUACGAUGGUAUUUUAUGAUUUUAAAAUAUUUGCGUAUUUAUCCAAAACAAGUUUGCAGGACAUUAUUGAUAUAAACCUGGCCAAAGAACUACAGAAACUUCAGAAAACUAUGAUUUUUUUCAGGAAAAAUAUACAAUUAAGUUAUAAGUUCAAACCAAUCUCGAAUUCCAAUACAUAUUAUGGUUUGAGAAUAUUUGCAUAUUUAUCCAGAACAUGCUUGCAGACCAUUAUUGGUAUAAAUCUGGCCAAAGAACUACAAAAAUUCAGAAAACUACGAUUUUUUCAGCAGAUAUGUACAAUUUUGAUAUAACCUCAAAUUGAUUUCUAUUUCUCAUGCAUUUUAUGAUUCUAAAAUAUUUGUGUUUUGGAUAAAGUUUGCAGAACAUUGGCGAUAGUUUUCUCUUAAAAAAAUAACAAGAUAUUCAGAAAAUUACGAUUUUUUUCAGGAAAAUAUACAAUUUUCAUGUAACUUCAAAUUGAUCUCCAUAACGCAUACAAUUUAUGAUUUUAAAUAUUUGCGUUUUUAACCAAAACAAGUUGGCAUAACAUCGUUGAUAGUUUUCUCUCUAAAGAACUCCAAAAAAAUCAUAAAGCUACGAAUUUUAAAAAUACUUGUUCUGUAUAAAUAUGCAACUUUUUUCAAAUCAUAAUAUGUAUGGGAUAUUGAAAUCUUAAAAUUGAUUAUAAUUGGUUAUAAUUAAUAUUUACGUCUUCGGAAAAAAAAUGUAUUUUUCUGAAUUUUUGUAGUGCUUUGGCCAGCAUAAUAUCAACAAUGGUUUGCUUCGGAAAAAUGGGCAUUUUUAAUCAUAAAUUUUGGAUGCAUAACGCAAAUAUUUUAAUAUCAUAAAAUGGAUUAAGAAUUGAGAUCAACUUGAUGUUAUAACAAAAUUGUACAUUUUUUUUUGAAUAACUCAUAGUUUCUGAUUUUUUGUAGCUCUUUGACCAGAAUUAUACUGGAACUUGGAAAAAAUUAAAUCGCCAUAACUUUUUUUCUUAUCAAUAAUUUCAAAUUAAGUCAAUUGUUUUUUAAAAGUCAUCAUAUAAGCCAUAAAUGAUCAAAAUUUCAUUGCAUUCGGUUCAUUGAAUCCGGAGAUAUAACAACUCAAAGUUGGCUAUCGGAUAAUUAUACCUUUUUCUAGAACCCUUAUAGCUUUAUGUAAAAUGGUCCGAUCUUUUCCAAAUUUUGACCACUGAUACACAGCUAGUUGAUGAACUUACAGUAAUAAUUUGAGAAUAGUUGAUGCCCUUUUCGAAAAGUUACAGCGAGUUGAACAAAGUGAAAAUUUUACCUGUCCCAGUUAUUUUGAGUAUCUCCUGUAUCAAUCUUAUGUGAUAACAAAAUUAUAAAUUAUCCGGAAAUAUUCAUAGUUUCCUGAUUUUUUGUAGUGUUUUUGUCCGAAUAAUAUCUACAAUGUACUGCAAAUAUAUUUUAGAUAAAUACGCAAUAUAUGGAAUAUUGAAAACAAUUUGAAAUUAUUGUUGGGCAGAAUUAUAUCAGCAAUGUUGUGCAACUUGUUUUGCAUAAAUACGCAAUUAGUUAAAAAUCAUAAGACGUAUGGGAUUUUGACAUCAAUUUGAAAUAAUAACAAAAUUGAAUAUUUUUCCUGAAAAAUUCCUAGUUUUCUUAGUAGUUCUUUUAAGAGAAAGCUAUGAACGAUGUUCUGCAAACUUGUUUUGAAUAAAUACGCCAAAAUUCUCAAAUCAUAAAAUGUAUAAUAAAUCGAGAUCAAUUUGAAGUCACAAUAUUGUUAUAUAUUUUUUCCGAAAAACUCGACGUUUUCUGAUUUUUGUUGAAGUAUUUUAGUCAUAUUUAUAUCAACAACGUUCAACAAACUUGUUCUGGAUACAAACGAAAAUAUUUAAAAUCAUUAAAUGUCUAAGAUUUUGUGAUCAAUAAGAUGUUAUAAAAUUCGUAGUUUUCUGAAAUUUUGUAGUUCUUCUGCCAGAUUUACAUCAAUAAUGUUCUGCAAACUUGUUCUGGAUAAAUACGCAAAAAUUUUAAAAUCAUAAAAUGUAUGGGAAUUCGAGAUUAGUUUGAAGUUAUUACAAAAUUUUAUAUUUUUCCUGAAAAAAAUCGUAGUUUUAUGAAUUUUUUGUAGUUCUUUGACCAGAUUUGUAUCAAAAAUGUUCUGGAUAAAUACAAAAAUAUUUUAAAAUCAUAAUAUGUAUGGACAUUUGAGAUUAGUUUGAAAUUAUAACAAAAUUGUAUUUUUUCCUGUAAAAUUCGUAGUUUUUUUUAAUUUUUGUAGUUCUUCUGCCAGAUUUACAUCAAUAUUGUUCUGCAAACUUGUUCUGGAUAAAUAUGCAAAUAUUUUAAUUUCAUAAAAUGUAUGGGAGUUGGAGAUUAGUUUGAAGUUAUAACAAAAUUGUAUUUUUUCCUGAAAAAAUCGUAGUUUUCUGAAUUUUUUGUAGUUCUUUGGCCAGAUUUAUAUUAAUAAUGUUCAGCGAAAAUGCUCUGGAUAAAUACGCAAAAAAUUUAAUAUCAUAAAAUGUAUGGGAAUUCGAGAUUAGUUUGAAAUUAUAACAAAAUUGUAUAUUUUUCCUGAAAAAUUCGUAGUUUUCUGAAUUUUUGUAGUUCUUCUGCCAGAUUUAUAUCAAUAAUGUUCUGCAAACUUGUUUUGGAUAAAUACACAAAUAUUUUAAAAUCAUAAAAUGCAUGGCAAUUCAAGAUUAGUUUGAAGUUAUAACAAAAUUGUAUAUUUUUCCUGAAAAAAUCGUAAAUUUCUGAAUUUUUUGUAGUUCUUUGGCCAGAUUUAUGUUAAUAAUGUUCUGCGAACUUGUUCUGGAUAAAUACACAAAUAUUUUGAAAUUAUAAAAUGUAUGGGAAUUCGAGAUUAGUUUGAAGUUAUAACAAAAUUGUAUAUAUUUCCUGGAAAAAUCGUAGUUUUCUGAUUUUUUUGUAGUUCUUUGGUCAGAUUUAUAUCAAUAAUGUACAGCAAACUUGUUCUGGAUAAAUACACAAAUAUUUUAAAAUCAUAAAACGUAUGGGAAUUUGAGAUUAGUUUGAAGUUAUAACGAAAUUGUAUAUUUUUCCUGAAAAAUUUGUAGUUUUCUGAAUUUGUUGUAGUUCUUUGAAGAGAAAAGUAUCAACAAUGUUCUGAGAAUACCUUCCUUAAGUAUAUGCGCACAUUUUAAAAUAAAAAAAUACAUUGGUUAUUGCGACAAAUUUAAAGUUACAAAAGAAAAUAUGGGUUUCUCUGUAUUAUACGUAGUUUUGUGAAUAUAUUGCAGUGCUUUGAGUGAUAAAUAAACACUUAAAUCACAUUGAUAGCUUUAUUACACUCGUGUGGGCUAUUCAUCAUCAAAAAAUCAUGUGGUCAUCGCGAUAAAUUUAAAGUUCUGCUCGAACAUAAAAAUCUUACGAAAUUUAUAACGACUUGCUCCGGGUUUUUAAGUACCAGAAAUUAGAAUUUUGAUCAGAGAAAAUUUUCAAAACAUGUAUACUCAUCCAGAGAUCCUAAAAAAUUCAUUGCUAAAAAAAUUUUUGAAAUCGGACUUGUAACGGCCGAGAUAUAGAAGGUUGAAAUUAGCGUUCCAACUUUUUUUGAGGCAUAGACGUUCGUGUAAGUGAAAAAUAGCAUCGACGCAGGAGUGUUAAUAAUAUUCGCUUUUUUUCCGUCCACUGAUUUUCAACCGCUCGAACGCUUCGAGAACCAGUCGCAACGCGAUUGAACCUGUCUGGUGAGCGCAAACAAGAAAAAAAAACAAUAUUAUGUGACCAUCAGUCAGUCUGUGUUUGGAUUGGAUGAAGAGGAUGGUCUUGGUCAUGGUACCAUCCAUCUCGGUGCCAGCGGAAACUACCUUACCCAAGUGAGUCUUUGUUGUCGGGGGCCAUCCUAUCACCAGUUAAAUCCAGAGCCAUAGUCGCAGUCACUCGGUGUCUGAACAGGGACUUACACAUUUUCCACUCUUGCAUGAAUUUGCACAAAGGAACUCCCAUCGACGAACCCAUCCCAACCAAAUUGCAGCGAGCUGCUGAUGGGUUUCCCCCACGCCCCACCCAAAAAAAGGGUGCCAAAGUUUGUUUCUUUGUUUCUCUGCCUCGCCCUGGGUACAGCGAAACAUGAUGGAAAAUGCACUAGCAGCGUCCCACCCAAUCUAACCCAGCCAACAACGCCGUUGUUCGUGGUGGGAUGCAGCUGAUCAGUGAGACGAGAGAGACCAGUUGGGGAACUUUCUUUUAUUCUGAUGCACAAGCAUGGAACGGUGACACCACGCAGGGCAAAACGAUGGAAAUAAAUCUCGUGCGACUUUUUUGGGGAGUGGUAGGGUCUUGGACAGAUCAAGCCAUCUCACCUUGCAGAUAUUUAUUCAUACAUACAACAUUUUGGAGCAAGAGAUGAAUGGAGCGUUGACUUGACACAUCAGAGCUACCUCCUUCCUCUCCCCUAAAGACACCAAUAACUGGACUCUUCAAAUGCAGCAAGACUGAAUUGGUUGAUGGUGGUGAUGGUUGCUGGUCGCCUCCCGAGCCAGACGUCUGCCUGAUGCCAGCAGCCACACAAAGAAGUAAUCGGCGAAAAAGCACAUCAGACCGCCAUCAACAUCUGGUUCUGCUGCAGUGUCGGUGGUGGAUGGGUCGGUCUGUGGAGCUGCCGAUGUGUGUGGUGGCAUGCGCAAACCAUCGUUCCAUCUCCAAACUCUCAGCUGUACAAGCUCCAGACCAGACUAGCUGGAGUAAAAAAAAGCAACGACACAAAUUUCUAUCAUUCACAUAAAGGAUUCGCAUUAGCCAAACCAAGCACGUACAAACGGCGAUAUCAACUACAAAAAUAGUGAAAACUCAUGUUUCUGAUGGCGGUGCAGCCUUGGCACUUCUGACAUCAGCUAGAUUAAGGAGGUACGACCCGAGCGUCUGUUCACCAAGGAGGUGCGGCUCAAACAGCGUCUGUUCUAGCAUCCAGCGGCUAAGUAUGAAAUGCUUUUCCACCGGAAGCUAUACCUAAGGUGGUAACCCCACCACGGCGCAAGGGUGUCCCUGAGAAAAUCAUCGACCUCAUUGAAGCACAGUACAAGGCAUUUUCGUGCAGAGUACUGCACAACGGUACUUGUCCGGUCCCAUCCGGGUCGUUGUUGGAGUGAGGCAAGGAUGUAUCCUAUCACCGAUACUGUUCAUUCUCGUAAUCGACGAGAUCCUGGUAGAAGCGAUUGAUCGCGAAACAAAUCGUGGGUUGCUGUGACAGCUCAUUCUCAUUACCAUGGAGCACCUAAAUGUCUUCGAACUGGCUGGAUGACGUUACUCUUUUAGCUCAACAACGGCGCUCUGAUAUGCAGAGUAAGCUCGAUGAUCACUUCUCGGCGGCUGGUCUCAACAUCAACGUCAACAAGUCCAAAUCGUUGGACGUAAACACGGUCAACCCUUCCAGUUUCACGGUAGCUGGGCAGGCAGUGGAGAAUGGUGAAAGCUUCCAAUAUAUUGGUAGCCAAAUGGCGGCCGAUGGCGGCACCAAGAUCGAUAUAGGUGCACGGAUCAAGAAGGCGAGGGCUGCUUUUGCGAGUUUAAGAAAUGUGUGGAAAAACAACCAGAUUAGUCGACGCAAAAAAAUCCCAAUUUGCAACUAGAACGUGAAAUCUGUGCUGCUAUACGCCAGUGAAACCUGGUGUGUAUCAGUGGAGAACACUCAACGGCUGCAGGUCUUCAUCAAUAGAUGCCUGCGGUAUAUAAUGAUUCGUGCAUAGUAGCCCCACAAUUGGAUAUCCAACGUGGAGCUACAUCGUGGAUGCCAUCAAAAGCCGAUAGCAACAGAAAUUUGGGAGCGAAAGUGGAGAUGGGUCGGCCUUACUAUACGCAAGGGCGGAAACAAAAUCUGCAAGCAAGCGUUAGAUUGGAACCCAGUAGGACAUCGCAGCAGAGGCAGACCCAGAGGCUCAUGGUGGCGCAGCCUCAACAACGAAAUCAAGAAAUUUGACCUGGCCACAGGUCAAGGCGAUGGCUGGCAAUCGCCCAGGAUGGCGAUCUUUCAAUUCGGCCCUCUGCACCACCGUGGGUGCUCAGAAUUGAAAGUAAGUUCCUAGAAAUCGGCAUGAUUUUUUCACUGGCUCAUUUUUUUUCAUAACUUCGAAAACAUCUCUCAUACAGUAGUAAAAACACUCGAAAAAAAAACAUAAUAAGAUAUUACGAUUAUUUUAAACCCGUUGGUGCAUUCUAUUUGGGCAGGGAGACCUAUUUUGGGUACUUCUUGCUAUAACUCGGUCAAUUUUGAUCCAAUAGGGCACGUUCGGUGUAGUACUAGAUUUGUAGUAAUGAGCUGAAUUUUAGUAUGGUGAGAAGGUCAAUUCUCCGUUUCUGCAAUGAAAUGGAGCAAAAAGCGUGGGUAUUAUGAUUCCUUGCCUAAUUUGAUGCUGUUUGAGCAAAACUUUGGAUAACUAUGUUGUUUAUGUUGCAAGAAAUGGACAAAACAACAACACCGUUACCCAAAGUUUUGCUCAAACAGCAUCAAAUUAGGCAAGGAAUCAUAAUACCCACGCAUAUUGCACCAUUUCAAUGCAGAAACGGAGAAUUGACCUUCUCACCAUACUAAAAUUUAGCUCAUUACUACAAAUCUAGUACUUCGCCGAUCUGUCCUAUUGACUUGAAUAGUGCCCAAAAUAGGUCUUCUUGCCCAAAUGAUCCCAUACCCUAUUUCUAUAAUUUUGCUGUACUGCCCAUAACUGCAUAUUUGUAACAUUUGUAGUUUUUGUCAAUAUUGAGUUAACACCGAGAAUAAUCUACAACUCAUCAGUAUUUUCAUCCACCCAAAUGAACAUUACAAGUUUGUUCUACAAAAUGUGUAAAAAAAUAUCAAGUCGUUUUGUCUCAUUAUCAAAAAUUCACGGUUACAACAGUCAUUGGGAAUAUACACUAGCCUCAUAGAGUAUCAUCAGUCAUAUUUUGGUCUAAUUAUUUUUUCAACAACACAUACACUACCGCUUUACGCAUAAUUGUCCCAUGUUAUAUGGGAUUACCAUAUAACAUGGGACAAUCGGGCGUAGAACGGCAGUACAACAGUGUAUAAAAACAUAAAAAUAACAAAAGAUUGUGGAAGUUAUUUUAUUCGGAUGCUUAAGGAAGUUCAAACUGUUCUUGAGAUUUACAUCAUGAAGUCUUUUGGUGUAAUAGUAACUUUUUACUAGGUCAUCUAAAUUAUUAUUUAGUUUAGAAUUCAGGGAUUCAUUAAACAGCAUAAAUUGCUGCGUCAGCCAUGAUUUUCUGCUAUUUGAAUGCGAAUGAAAUAAUCAAAGACUGCCGUGAUCGCGACGAUUAAUCAGGGAGGUAUUUAAUCAGCGGUUUACGCUGUUAAGUAAAUCCCCCUUAUAUAAUCUACAUACAACGAUAAGGCAAUAUUUUUUUGGUUGCCUAGAGUUAUGUUACAGGGUCAACUGGGCUUAUUGGUGCUCAUAGUAUUUCAAAAGAAACUAUGAGUACUAUCGAGAAAUUCAGGAUGAUCAAAAUUGUUCUGCAAUUCAGAGCAUGGGAUCUGCAGCCGCAACAACAACUGUUUUUGUUAUUACGCAACAUUACCAGUUGUAAAGACUGUCCGGGAAACUCAAGUGACAUUAUAAAUUGCUGAAACUUCAUAAAGUCAGAGGUUCCCAAACUUUUUGCUAUCGCGGCGCUUUUUAAAAUUUUCUAAUAUGUCACGGCGCACCAACAUUUUUUACAGAGAAUUUUUCAUUAUUUCAGAACAACCUUCUGUUCAAAAAUUUCAAUGCAAAAUUGGUAAUUUUCAGUACCAUUUUUCUCAAAAUCCAGAUAAAUUUAAGUUUCUCAACAAGUUUUUUUUAAGAAAAAAUGCCAAAGGAUUUCAUAAAUAUUUGUUAGAUUUCAAAUAUCAUAUUUUUUUCGCACAAAUUAAACAAAUGUAACAGAAGCUUCUACAUUUAAAGCAAGCUGCUAGUUUCUAAUGAUUCAACCAAAAACAGUAAAACUGUUGCAAUACUUUGAAAAUUCACGGUGAAUUGAAAUGAUUCCACAUAAUUUUAUGAAAAUCUUAGAUUGCGGGAAUAACAAAACAUUAAAAGAUGUUAAGUUACCUGACUUUUCAACAACUUUUCAACAAACUUAGAUACAAAAAUAGGAUGUUGAGGACUAGGCUGAUGACAAAUCAUUUAUUACCAUGCGUUUGAGCAUUUUGUCUUGAGAAAAGCUUGAAGGACCAUCUUUCGCAUGAAGUUUGGAUGACUAUUUUGGAACAACGAACGAACAAGUUGAUUAACUGGAUGGUAAAAUUUAUAAAAAAAAUGUCUCAAUCUCGCGUUCCUCGAACUUCGGAACGGGUCUUAAUGAGAUUAAAAGAUGCAUAGUUUUCCAUCAUUUUCCAUCAAGAUCUCAAAAGAAUUAAUUUCAAGAUGUGACCUACUUGCAAAAAAAAACGACAAUUUGCAGAAGUAUUCGGUGAUAAUGACGUUAGUAAAAAAACUGUCCCCAAAAGCAGGAGACAACAUAAAGAAAGAGAAGAAACUUUUUACGACUUUAAAAAUAUUCACUUUCAACCGUUAUGUGUCCGACAAACUUUUAGCUUUUUUCUACACCGUGUUUUUUUAAAUGGGCGCUAGGUAUCCGGGUACCCUGUCGGUCACAUAAGGGUUAAAUUUAAAGCUGUUGGUAGAAUCGAAAACUCAACCAAAGUUUUGGAAAUCCAAAAAUCAAUUUUAAAAUCUUGACAAAAAUUUGUUUAAACUCCGAAAAUUUGAAAAUUUGAUAAUGUUUUAAGAGGAUACCAAAAAUUAUAUUACCAUAGUAUAUUCGAGGUUCGGGAUACAUUUUGGAAAAAUGCCGUGAAGCAAUACUUCCAAGUUCCAUUAAACAAGAACAAAUAUAUAAUCCUUCGUUUUGUUUUCUCUAGGCCUGCAGCGCACCUGCAAAAUGUUCACGGCGCACCAGGGCGCCACGGCGCACAGUUUGGGAAGCACAAAGCUAUCCUUGAGUUCAGAACUAGAAGAAAUACAAUUUUCAUCUCCCUACAAGAGGAUAGACAUUUACUUUCAUCGGACCAACACCAUUAUUAGCAUAAGGCCAGCAGCCAACCUGAGCCUAUGCUACCACCCGCACAAGCUCAAACCAUCCUCGGAGCAACAACACACAACCACUCGCUCACUCAGCCACUGACUGCGAGUGUCGAGUGCCCAUCCAGUGGAACUCAGUUAUGGCUUUGGCUGCUGACAGCUGAUUUUGUUGACAGUUCACUGUCCAGUCCCUCGUUUGUGUUAUUUUGCUACUGCUACUGCUGCUGCUGUUGUUGUUGUUGUUGUCAUAAACGAAGAUUAGAGAUACAUUACGGCAGGAGGGCUGAUGCGUACAAAGAGGAAAAGGGGCAGAGCAGAGAUCACUGUCCGUAUUACCGAGGAAAAAUACGCAAUACAUGUAUGCACAUUAGGGUGCGGCUUAUGUUUUUUUAUGCGUUUGGCUUUCUGACCACAACACAUCACCAGGCAAACUUAGUGGUACAUAUAUGAAAUGUUAAAAUGUAGCUAUUACCUUAAAAUAGGAUGCAAGAGUAUUAAAUGUGGCUACCAAACUCAUGAGAGAAUAAUCGAAUUAGAAUCUCUUUUGAAUAGGCUCCUAAAGUCCUAUCGGGAUUCUUGUUUUAAACCACAAUAUAUGGUUCAAGAGUACAUAUUUACUCAUUUUUUGACGUUUUUAUUAACCGUAGUUGAAAAUAUAUAAUUUUUAUUUUUUUAGCUUUUUGUCUCGUCCCUAGCUUAUAACACAUACUUUGAGUGAUUUUUUUUCACCGUGUAUGUCAGAUAGGAACAUUUUUGAAAUCCCAAUGCGAAAAAUGUCGAGCUCAGUCACACAAGGUUGACCUCAAAUGUCAAAGUAGAACUAUUUACCAUUUUACUUAUUUUGAAUUUUCUCAUUAUUCCUUUGUUUUUUAAGUUCGAGUAAAGUACAAUUCCGAUUAGAAUACCAUGCUUGAUCGUAUUAUUUAAUAUAAGCGAGAUUUCGUCUUUAAUUUUAGGACCCUAUUGAAAUUCUGAAAAAAAAAAAUAUCUCGGAAUUUUUUUUUCAUCUUGAUUCACGAUAAGUAUGAGGUUUGAACGUAACUCUCUAUGAUUUUAUCUUUCUCAAGUAUAAAAAUUUACUCUGUAAUCAAUGAAACAUAAAUCCUUUUGAGGAAUAUUUUAGCAAGUCUUAGACACAAUACCUGAAGAACAAUUAUCACAUUUUCUAUAUCGUUUCUACGGGUUUUCACGUGAAAAAAAAAAAUUGAAACAUCAAUGUUGCUGAAUUUGACUUGUUAUUGUGUUCUGGACAGAAAAACUCAUUUCAAUUAGGGACUAUAAUAAACCUCUGGGUAGGGUACAAUUCUUCAAAACUUUGCAUGGACAACAUUCAUCAAAAAUAACAUGGAGAGGAAAAACAGCCCCUACACAAUACAAGCUUGAAAACUUGUUUAAUUUCACAAGGAAAAUUGAUAUACAUGGGCUCUAUGGGCUUGGGCAUCACUGCUGAAAUCCGCAAAUGACAACCAACAUGGCCACCUUGUUUUCUACUUGAAAGUUCAAGAUCAUGAAUGGGAGCGUCCAUAAAUUACGUCACGCUUUAAGGGGGGAGGGGGGGUUCAGCAAAGUGUGACGACCCAUACAAAACUUUCAGAGGUUCCAUACAAAAAGUGUGACAUAGGGGGGAGGGGGGGUUGAAAAUGACCAAUUUUUGCGUGACGUAAUUUAUGGACGUUCCCAAUUCAGUAAACCUUAUCAAGUUAUAACUGCAGUUUGUUGGUUGCUCAUUCGAAGUAAGUGUGGCAAAAUUUCUAGCGAACUUGAAACAAAGCACAUUAUUGCAAAAUUCCACAUUUUUUCUUGAGAAAACAGUUAUUUUUUUGUUUGUGAGAAAAGUGACUUAGUUGCAGCUUUAGACACAAAAAAAUAAUUAUAUGCAAGCAAUUUGUUGGAUGCCUUUUUUGUAAAUCGCUAUACAAUUUCGAUGAUAUUUCUGGGAAAAUGCCUGGCGAAGUUUUCAGAAGAAAUUACAGCGGACCUCCGUGGAUAUUUCUUGGCAAAACCCUUUGAUUUUUUUUUGAAUAUUUUCUAUGUAAUAUUGUCAAAUAUUUUGAGGACUGGAACAUUUCCUUUGAGUUGUUUCUGGUAAAAAGUAUGCUUUUUUGGUAAUUGAGUAAUGAUCUGUGUACCCGACAUAUUUUGGAUAUACUUUUUUCCUGGAGUAAAUAUGGAUUAAGAAAAUAUUGUACAAAAAAAAAAAGAAUGACGGUUCAUACGAUAAAAAGAAAACUUGAGAAAUGCCAUGAUCAUACCACAAAUUUUUCAAAAGUGAAGAAGUUCCUCAAAGUUUAAAAAAGUGUUUCAUAGAAUAAAACUUAGAAUAGAAAAAAGAUUAAACAAGCUAAUUUAAUGGUGUAAAUUCAAAAGAGGACAAGAAUUCAAAUUUUGAAGAAUUCAAUAAUAUUUUCGAAAAAUAUGUCACACCCUAAUGGGCAUGGUUCGUAUAAUUAGCAAUUGCUUUUUCGAAAAAGGGGAUUCAUCAUUGGCAUGAAUCAAUAAUUGCGACAAGAGUUGAAAGCUCUAAAAUGGAUUCUGUCGUCCUAUAAAUCAAUCAGCUUAACACCACGGAUGCCAGAUGAAAACAGACAUGUUUAGGAGAUUUGCAAAAUGACGUCUGAUUGGACGGACACUGAAACCAAUACUACAGAAGGGUGGGCCACUUACCUUACUGAAGUAAAUUCGGAAAAUUUCUAUCAAACGAAGAUAAUGUUAUAUAAAUCCAUUCUUUAAGCACGGAAAAUCCUUUUUCACUAAUUUAAUCAACAUAUUGUCCGUAGCUGUGGCUGGUAUCUAUCGUAUACCGUUUUGCUUUUUUCCACAAUCACUUUUGGUCACCUCGGCGAAGGGAGUUGCACCAACACAAAGAAAGCGAUUUUUCCUAAUUGUUUUUUUUUU